rnacentral:rRNA from 1 species
AUUGAACGCUGGCGGCAGGCCUAACACAUGCAAGUCGAACGAGUGGCGGACGGGUGAGUAAUGUCUGGGAAACUGCCCGAUGGAGGGGGAUAACUACUGGAAACGGUAGCUAAUACCGCCUACCAUCGGAUGUGCCCAGAUGGGAUUAGCUAGUAGGUGGGGUAAAGGCUCACCUAGGCGACGAUCCCUAGCUGGUCUGACAGGAUGACCAGGCCAACUGGAACUGAGACCAGGGCCAAUGUUCGUCGGGAGGCAGCAGGUGGGAAUAAUUGACCAUUGGGGGUAGCCCGGUUGAACCAUGCCCGGGGGAUGCAGAAGGCCUUCGGGUUUGAAAGUUAUUUUAGCCGGGAAGCGUUACUCGCAGAAGAAGCACCGGCUAACUCCGGGCCAGCAGCCGCGGUAAGUC